GUGGAAGUGACGGAGGUUGGCUCUGGCUCCAGGCUCGGACUCUCCAGUCUAUCUCCGGGGUGGAGCAGUGGCAACAUACCACAUGGUCCCUGUAGAGAGAACACUGAACCCUCUAAUAGACCAUAGACCGUGUUGCCAAGGCCUACUGGGAAUGACACAAAGAUUGGGAACUCGGAGUGGGAGGAAGAACAAAGAAAGACUGCAAUCAAUAACACUGCUGAGGUGUUGCCAGGAGACUUGGAAAGUUGGGAAUGUUGGACCUUCUUCUGUUAAAGUAAGCUCAGCCAGCGUGAGCCUAUCAUCUCAGUGCCAGAGAAACUGUUGGAAGUGAUAAACGAGCGGUGUUAGCACUGGGAGCGUUGAUUCUCCCCCGCUUUCUACCAGAGCUUGGUAGAAAGCAGAGAUGACCCGAGACGCCUUCUGUUUGUAUGCAUCCACAAUCACCUUGAUCACAUUAUUUGAAGUUUCAUCUAGUUCUGGCCUUACCUCUUUUGUAAAGUAAUCUCUUAAUUGCAAGUAUCUAAAAAAACCUUUGUUUUCGAGACCAUAUUUUGACUUUAAAUCUUGGAAGCUCAUAAACUCGCCAUUUUAUGAAACUGUAUACAUUGCCGUUAUGCCUUUUUGUGCCCAUUCUUUGAAUUUUGAAUCAUACACCCCUGGCUUAAACUUUGAGUCAUAUGCGAACCACUUCAAUGUGUGAACCCCUCUUUUUAAUUUGUAUUUUUCCACUAUAACAUUCCAUAUUUCUAACGUAAAUGCUACUAUUGGAUCCAUAGCAUGUCUCAAAGCCUCUCUCAGAUAUUUGUCUCCCACCAAAAUCUGGAUCUGGUAACCCUGUAUCUCCCUUUCCAUUUCUUUCCAUCGAGAUUCAUAAUCAGGUCUACACCAACAAGCCAGAAGUCUGAGUUGAGCUGCAUAAAACUAUUUCCUCAGAUUUGGUAAAGCCAUUCCACCCUUGCUUUUCGGCAGUUGAAGUGUUGUUAGUUUUAUGCUUGGUGUUUUGCUAUUCCAAAUUAAUCUAGAGAUCAUUUUAUCCCAGGUUAUGAAUUUAUCUCGGGGAACAUUAAUUGGGCGAGAUUGGAAUAAAUAUAGUAGUUUAGGUAGGAUAUUCAUUUUUACCGUUUUUAUUCUGGCACCGAAGUCUAGAGGAAGAGUCGCCCACCUCUCCACAUCCUUUUUGAUGUUUUCUUCAGUUUUGUUAUAAUAAGUUUCAAACAAGUUGGAAAGUGUUUUGCUUAUAGUUACACCAAGAUACUGCAUCGUUUUAGAAUUCCAUUUCAGAUUAUACGCAUCUCUGAUUUGUUGGGAUGGAGAAUAAUUGAAUGAAAGAAUUCGUGUUUUUGUUAGAUUCAGUUUAUACCCUGAGUAGUAUCCAUAUGUUUCAUAUAGAUUCAUUAGAUUUGGGAGAUAAAUCUGGUCGUUCA